ensembl:lncRNA
AUCAGGUUAAAGCGCUUACUGAACAUUAAAUGAAGGAAGGAAUUAACACUGCAAUACAAUAUACUGACGCUUUCGCAAUGAAGAACUGCUUCAAGCAGAUCUAAAAAUUUCGUCAAAUGCGUCACAUCUGAAAACAUGCAAACCCCAGAUAAAACUGGUCUCCAUUAAUUCUUGAAACUCUAUCUGCUGUUACAAAGUUCAGGGAGUUCAACCCCCCUUUUUUGUUAAAACUAAAGAUUAUGUAAGAAUCCCCUUUCAAAACGAAGUGCUGGGAGUUUGGCUUUUUGGCACAGCCUUCCUCUUCUGCUCUUUCACAUUUGAAUGCUUCUCUUCUAAAGGUGGGUUAAGUGUCUCACUACUUGAAGAAAACACCACUUACAUCUUAAAUAGUAUAUCAGUUUAGCACUGGGGUUAUUUGAGUCCAAAUCACACUGGGUUAAAAUAAAACGUUAGAGAACUUUUUGGAAUAACUUACUUUCUUACUUUAUUUUUCUUUCUUUCUUUCUUUCUUUCUUUCUUUCUUUCUUUCUUUCUUUCUUUCUUUCUUUCUGUCUGUCUGUCUGUCUGUCUGUCUGUCUACUCAGCAAAAAAAGAAUUGUCCUCUCACAUUCAACUGCUUCUAUUUCCAGCCAAUUUCUUAACAUGUGUAAAUAUUUAUAUUAACAUAAAAACAUUCAGCAACUGAGAGAUAAAUUGGACAAUUUCACAGAAAUGUAAUAAUGAGUCCCUGAACAAAGGGGGGUUGGGGUCAAUAUCAAAAGUAACAGUCAGUAUCUGGUGUGGCCACCAGCUGAUUUAAGUGCUACAGUACAUCCUCAUGGACUGCACCAGAUUUGUCCGUUCUUGCUGUGAAGUUUGAGGAACAUGACAAAGUCUUCAAGUUGUUGACCUGGCCUCCAACUUCCCGAGAUCUCAAUGUGAUCAAGCAUCUGUGGAAUAUGCUGGAUAAACAAGUCCAAUCCAUGGAGGCCCCAUCUUGCAACUUUCAGGACUUAAAGGAUCUGCUGUGAACGUCUUGGUACCAGA